UUGCCCCUCAAACCGGCCUCCACGCUCAACGAAUCUGACCAAAAUCAGAGCGAAUACAUUACAAUAUGCCAGGGAACAAUACCCAAUCUAAAACAACUGAGAAAUAGCAGAAAUCUCAACUCGUCUCUGUCUUGAGGCCAAUAACCAGUGACUCUUUUGUUAACCACAUGUAGAAUAUCUUGUGUAGUCGGGUAGGAUAACUAGAAUAUAUCUUUCCUUUAGUGUGUAACCGAUUUAUAUAUGUUAAGCUCCCCUUUUUUUCUCUCCUUUGCUUUUCUUUUGCCCCUCUUUAAAGUAAAGCUGCUUCUUAGAGUUGGCUUUUGCAAUUGCAAUCUGUCUCUGUCUGGCUCCUCGCUUUGAACUCAAAUAAGACCUUCUUUUGGUCGAGUGACUUCGUUCCUGGUCUUCCUAUUCCCUUCGCUUUCCCAGCCGCUGCCUCUAAGGCCCAAGUACUUUUUUCCCGAGCCCGCUUCUCGAAAAAUUACAAAAUUCACAUCACCGAAUUUAUCGUCUCGACACAAGUUUGUACAUAUGAAAUUUAUCAAAAAUCGUAGUUAAAAUGCUCCCUCAAAUUCCUAAUUUUCAUUUAAAACCCGCCUUAGUUCUUCAAAUUUUCACCCAAUUUUCCAAGAAUUAAAGGUUGAUUCAUCAAUAAAAUAGCGUCUCUAGGUCACGAGACUUACCUCCAAUCAAUUUCCGUCAAAAUCCUCUUCAAUUUCUACCAAAAAUCUCUCAAGGUGGUUCAAGAAUGGUGGAACAUGGCUUACCUUCGCGGAAUAAAAUGAUUUAAAAAGCCCUACUGCCCAGCAGUUAUUUUCUCUAUGCGAACACGGUCAACCCUCCGCAUUCGCAAUGAAGAAACUUACGUUGACCAGAAAUUUCUCUACGCGAACGCGGUACCUAAACCGCGAUCGCGAUACACCAGGAAGUUUUAACUACGCGAACGCGUCCUACUCCCCGAGAACGCGUUUCACAGACCACUCCUCUCACGCGAACGCAUACAAUCAAUCGCGAAUGCAUUGAACAACUUAGGCAGAGCCCCAGGCUCUUUCUACGCAAAUGUGAGGAAAACCACGCGAACGCGAUGAACUGGCAACCCAUCUCUUCGCGAACAGGAAUCUACUCCUGCGAACACGAUGACCAAUUUUGGUCUGCAACUGCUGUGCAUUUUCUGUAGCAAAUCCUAAGUCCAAACUUUCUGUUUAACCAUCUGAAAUCAUCCCGAGGCCCCCGAGACCUCAACCAAAUUCACCAAAAUAUCCUAAAACAUCAUACAAACUUAUUCCAAUCAUCAUAACACGUAAAACAUCACUAAAAACAUCAAUUCACAUCGGAUUCAAGCCUGAGUUUUUUCAAAACUUCCGAAAUGAACUUUCAAUCAAAAACCCAACCAAACAGUGUCCUUUGACUUGAAAAUUUGCACGCAUACCCAAAAUCACUUAACAAAGCUACUGUAUCUCUCGGAAUCCCAUUCUACCCCAUGAUCAAAAUCUCACUUUCCAACCGAAAUUCGCCAAAAUUCUAACUUCACCAUUUCAAGCCUAAUUCUUCACUGGACCUCCAAAAUCAUUUCCAACUACGCUCAUACCCUGAAACUAUCCGAAACACCGGAAAUCACAUCCGACUCCUAUAACUCAUAAGUCAACGUCUGGUUAACUGUUUCAACUUAAGCCUUCCUUAAAGAGACUAAGUGUCUCAUUUCUUAUCAUAACCAGUCCAGAUCACUUCUAAUACACCACAUACCGAUAACGAAACAUGAGGAAGCAUAAAAUGGGGGAAACGAAGAAGUAACACAUGAGACGAUGGGUCGGGUCUGUCACACCUCCUUUUUCACCACACCCGCAAGGACAUAAAGAAGUUUUUCCACUUAAAGGACAAUAGAAACGGGAUUUAUUAUUUAGAUUUCAGAGUCGCCACAUGGGAGAUUAAUGGUGUCCUAAUUAAUCUGUUGAAUCCCGAACCGAGGUAAAUAUGACUCUGUUAAUAGUACGCGAACCAGAAAUUUGAGUAAGGAAUUAUGUUAACCCGGGAAAAGGUGUUAGGAAUUUUCGGGUUCCGUGGUUCUAGCACGGUCGCUCAACUAUCGUGUUUAGCUUAUUUAUCUGAUUUUAUUACAUGAUGAACCUAUGUGCCAAUUUUUACAUUCAACCGCUUUCAUUUAAUAUUUUUAAGAGAAAGUUGAACAUCGUUUAGAAUGUGUCUUCGGAUCGCGCCACAUUAAAUGCACCCACAAUCCUGAACACAUUCUAUUCAAAGUUCUGGGAUUUGAUUUGGGUCACAUGAAAUGCACACCCGAGUCUAAGAAUGUAAUUUUAUUAAAGUCACGCCUAAAGUGACUAACGCGUUAUUAUCUUUUAGGAAGACCGUAAAGUUCACUAAAUGGCACAUCCCGAAGUCUAAGUAUUUUAAUUCAACUAUUUAUUAAGGGCCUCGCAAUCUUGCAUUUUUAUUUAGCGAGGAUCAUCUCAUUUCUAUUUAAAAGGGCAGACCUAAAAGUAACUAGGGUUGUCUAUUUUUGCUUGUCUCUAAUAAUAAAGAAAAAGUCCUAAUUAACUAAAUUGUUAAACAAUUACUUACACUUUAGGGUCCAUGAACAUAUAUAAAUUCAGACCUCUAACCCCGUUCGGGCCUUGAACAUAGCCCAUAUAAAGAAUCAUUAUCCAUAUGUGCAUAAAGAGCUGGCCAAUCAUAGGCCUGGGCCCAGGUCCAAAUGAACAUAUAAUCAGGGGCAAGACCUGGGCCAUUUGUGAUGGCACUGAGGCCCAAACUGUGCGAAAUGGACUGUUAAUCCUAACCUCAGUUCCAACUGAACAAAUGAUCACUGGUAUUGCUUCAGGUUAUUCAAAUGGGUCGUUUGGGAUUGUCUAAGUCAACUGGAAGCCCGGUUUUGACAAAACACGAAGCAACUGACUAGUCUUAGUUUUAUUCAAGUUAUCCUUACUAGAUUAAUAUUCAAAUAUCCGUGAUUUUUAAGGCUGAACUACUGAACCUCCUAUUGAAAACAAGUGUUAUAAUGCCGGACUUAAGCUAAUGCCCAUAUCCUAAUUAACAAUUCAAUUUCUGACCAUCACUACAAAUUAAAGUAAUAAAUCUCGACUUUAUAUCAUGCUUCGAGCUAUUCUAAUUUCAAAAUUAAACUAUACAGAUAAACCAUUCUACAUCAAGGUUAAUGACUAUCACCAAUCUGUAGGCUAAACAGUUCAACAUCUAUUUCCAGUUUAACGUGAAUUCAAGGUUAAGAUGAGCUAAAUCAAAUUUAAAAAGAAAACUACUAAUUACAGAAUUCACCAUCUAAACAGUUCCCAAUUAGUAUGGUUCAGAACAGUCCUAUUACAAAAUGACACAAAACUUCAAGUAACAAGCUGUUUUAUAUGUUAAAACCAGGCAGAAACAAAACAAAUUUGGGACUCGACUUUAGACAGCAGUUCAAACAGUACUCCAUCAUGUAUUCCUCAAAUCAAAACUACAUCAAGCCUUCAUAGUUCAUAGGAGAUCAAAGAGUACCUGAUAUUUGAACAAAAACUAAGAAGAAGUAGAGGUCGGCAACAGUGACAAAUGCAUCAACAGAUCGGCAGUCAAAUUCCAGAUAAACUGAUUAAUUUCCAACUCAAACAAUCACAGCCACCCAGUGAUGAACAGAAGAAGAAUAAAACUAGUGAAAACAACUAAAAUCCAACUUCAUACAACCCAAAACCACUCGAAAAUCACCCAGGGACUACUGAAGCUUCAGAACCCAAUUAUGGAACUAAAAAACUAGAAUUAAUAACUAAAAAAUGAAAUUAGCUUGAAUUCUCUAAUAAAACAGUUCUAUUUUUGUGUUUUUGAAGGGUUUUCUAUUGCUUUUUUUGUUGUUUUUUUAUUUUUGAAGAACUAAAUCUAGAGUUGGAAUUUGAAUAUCAUAUCUGCAACUCAGAUCUGCAGCAAAGAGUUUUUUUAGAGGGGGAGGGGGGAAUUUUGAUGGCCAAACUUCCUCCUUAAGGCACUACCCAUGCCCUUUUAUAGGCAAAAUAAGCUGCAAAUUUCAGACUUCAAUUACAAUACUUUGGUCCUUCUGUUAUUUUACUUUUUAAUCGAUUAACCCCUCAUUUCCUAACUUGUUAUUCAAGUUACUGCUUUUAAAAAGCUGAAACUUACACCAAGACCCCAUUCUAGAAGGCCCUAUGGUGUUCUUCUACCUAUAGAAUACAUAUACUACAUUUAUUUGGUUUUGAAAUUAAUAUUCUUAACAAAACAUCCCUUUUCCAUGCCUAAACUACCCCUGAAAACCCCCUGAAAUUACCGACCCUAAUUAAAAUUCUAACGUUAUAACCAAUCACCUAAACUAAGAUUAAUUAAUAGAGAUUGAACCUCAAACUAAUGAACACUGAAUUGAAGAACACUUGAAACUUGAUUAAACUAUCAAGACAUUAAUCUAAUCAAUUUUAACACAGGUUUGGAACAGAAUUAAACUGAAAAUCUAAAGGGACAAAAAUCAGAUUACAAAAGGAAAUUAGACUAAACCAAUCAGUUUGAACUAAUUAAAACUAUUACUUAACAAUUUAACUAAUUAGCCGAACAUUUAAACUAAGUAAAAUGAAAAUCGACUCAGUGUUAUCUAAGAUGGAAACUAACCUAAGGAUUGACCUACACAUUUAUCACUAACAAUAACAAAUAGAAAUAGAAACAUAUUGAUGCCAAGCUAAAUUGUUAAUCAGAACUACACGGCAAUUGAACUUCAUUUAAUUAAACAAGUAAUAACAUGCACCAAACUAAUAAGAAACGAAACUAAAAAAAUGAAAAAGAAGAAUAAAACUUACUGUCACAAUCUUCAUUUAUCCAAUUUCAUCAAAGUUGGGUUUUUAAUUAAUGUUAUAUGUUUAUAAAACAUAUAUCAUCAAUUAAAAAAUCACUUGACUCCUUGAAAUCCCAAAAUAGUUUUGACCCCCAAAACCCUAGAUCCGACAGUUGAGCCCUUCUACUCGGAUUUGAGGGAUUAUGGGAAGGUAUUAGUGAUGAGGGAAGGACGAUGAUCAUCUGGUAUCAAUUUGGUGGGAAAAAGGGGCGGGGCGGCCAUUGAGAUUCGAGGGCGGCAGCUAAGGUUCAUCAAUUUCGAGUCAAGAUUCGAAACCUUUGAGGUUGAUUCGAAGGAAAAGAAGUGUAGAUUUGGAAUGAGAAGAUAGAGACGGUGUUGGGGUGUAAUUUUGGUGGUCGUUGGUGUAACUAAUGGCCUCGCUGCCGGCUCGCUCUGAUCAAAGAAAAUGGGGGCGGCUGAUUAAUUAGGGUUCAGGUUAGAGACGACUGGGGAGGGGUCUGAGAGGGCGGGGGGAUUGGAUUUC
rnacentral:lncRNA from 1 species